GGACUACCGGGGUAUCUAAUCCUGUUUGCUACCCAAGCCUUCGUCCCUCAACGUCAGUUUUUAGAUAAAAGAUUGCUUUCGCCGCUACCAGUCGUCAUGGUAUCAACAAAUUUUAUCUCUACUCCAUGAAUACUCCUCUUCUCAUAUAAAACUCUAGUAAUACCGUACCCUAUUUUGGGCUAGCAAUACCGUCUAGGUACCCUUUAAACCUAAUAAAGAUGAAUAACACUAGUCUUUUACGUAUUACCGCGGCUGCUGGCAC
rnacentral:rRNA from 1 species